UACGUAGGGACCAAGCGUUGUUCGGAUUUACUGGGCGUAAAGGGCGCGUAGGCGGCGCGGUAAGUCACUUGUGAAAUCUCUGAGCUUAACUCAGAACGGCCAAGUGAUACUGCAGUGCUAGAGUGUGGAAGGGGCAAUCGGAAUUCUUGGUGUAGCGGUGAAAUGCGUAGAUAUCAAGAGGAACACCUGAGGUGAAGACGGGGUUGCUGGGCCAACACUGACGCUGAUGCGCGAAAGCCAGGGGAGGCAAACGGGAUUCAGAGUA
rnacentral:rRNA from 1 species